rnacentral:tRNA from 1 species
AGGUUAGUUACAGAAUUAGAGCGGGGCUCUCAUAAGGCCUGUGUCGGUGGUUCAAAUCCACCCGUCGCCA